CAGUCGCCGCGGUAAUACGAAGGGGGCUAGCGUUGUUCGGAAUUACUGGGCGUAAAGCGCACGUAGGCGGAUAUUUAAGUCAGGGGUGAAAUCCCGCAGCUCAACUGCGGAACUGCCUUUGAUACUGGGUAUCUUGAGUAUGGAAGAGGUUAGUGGAAUUGCGAGUGUAGAGGUGAAAUUCGUAGAUAUUCGCAGGAACACCAGUGGCGAAGGCGGCUAACUGGUCCAUAACUGACGCUGAGGUGCGAAAGCGUGGGGAGCAAACAGGAUUAGAUACCCGCGUAGUCCCUGUCUCUUAUAC
rnacentral:rRNA from 1 species